GACGAACGCUGGCGGCGUGCUUAACACAUGCAAGUCGAGCGGAGCGGCGAACGGGUGAGUAAAGCGUGAGUAACUGCCCCCCUCUCUGGGAUAACAGUUGGAAACGGCUGCUAAUAACGGAUAGUGGGGGAUGACUCGCGUCCGAUCAGCUGGUUGGUGGGGUAGUGGCCUACCAAGGCGACGACGGGUCGCCGGCCUGAGAGGGCGACCGGCCACAUUGGCCGGAGAUACGGCCCAAACUCCUACGGGAGGCAGCAGUGGGGCAUAGUGCACAAUGGGGGAAACCCUGAUGCAGAAACGCCGCGUGCGGGAUGACGGCCUUCGGGUUGUAAACCGCUUUCUGCCAUGACGCGGUAGUGGCAGAAGAAGCACCGGCUAACUACGUGCCAGCAGCCGCGGUAAUUC
rnacentral:rRNA from 1 species